AUGCCCUACCGUAAAAUAACUCACACCACUCACGCCUGGGUAUUACAAGCCCAGCUUAAAACCCAAAGGACUUGACGGUGACCCACCCCACUAGAGGAGCCUAUUCUAUAAUCGAUUAUCCCCGAUUUACCCAACCCCAUCUCGCUAAUCAGCCUGUAUACCUCCGUCGUAAGCUCACCAUGUGAGUGCGCAUAGUAGGUUUAAUGAUUCUCAUACCAAUACGUCAGGUCAAGGUGCAGCUUAUGAUAAGGAAGCAACGGGCUACAGUCUCUAAUAUAGAACACACGAAAUGCUUUAUGAAACACAGCAUGAAGGUGGAUUUAGCAGUAAAAAGAAAAUAAUGUGUUCUUUUUAAUUAUAGCUCUGGGACAUGUACACACCGCCCGUCACUCUCUUCAACACUAUUUAACACGUUCAUAACAACUCUUUCGUUUUAGAGGAGGCAAGUCGUAACAUGGUAAGCGUACUGGAAGGUGCACUUGGAUCUGA
rnacentral:rRNA from 1 species